AUGCUUGCUCCAGGGGACAUCUCCAUUAGAGCCUACUACCUGGAGGACUUCCUGGUCCUGUGCAAGGACAUGGCCACACGCAACAAGCUCGUGGAUGGCGGUCGGGCAUCCACCGCGCAGUUCUCUCUCGUCCUGCGGCCAUGGAUGAGGCAGGCUCAGGCUACGGGCAUCUCAAUGCCGUUUCUUGUGCCGCUGGCACUCAAGGGUGUGCCGGCGAAUGCAUGGACUAGGCGGACGGCGGAGGCAGUUCUCUGGGGCCUCGGUCUUGUCGUCAAGGUGGCGGAGAGCACGGCGCACCGGCAUGACAUGGCGGUUCAGGGUUUGGCUGCGCACGGACGAUCCGGCUAG
rnacentral:rRNA from 1 species